rnacentral:lncRNA from 1 species
AAGGCUAAUCACCCAAAGAGAGGGCCUUCAUUCCUUGCAUCUUAGAUCUAUGGAUUUGGAUGGAGGAAAUCGUUCUCCAAGUUCUCAAAAUUGAGAACCUCUAAGUCUCUUCACCAAGGUUAGAUUGGAGAAGAAAUGAGUGACCUUGGAGUAGUAGGAUUGCUAGCUAAACCCUCCAAGGAGGCCGGCCACUUUAGAGAGAAAAGAGAGCUUAUGUUCUCAUCCUUUCCCUAAAAGAAAACCCUAAAUGAAUUUUGGCUAUAAAGUCAUAUUUAUACCUUAAUUCAUUGGAGUGGCAAACUUGUAAAUAAGUUCAAAACUCACUCCAUCUCUAAAUGGCCGGUCUUAGGGUAUUAUUGGGCUAAUUAGGCAUUUGUGAAUCAUUAUUCAUUAAGUUGUCAUACAACUUAAUUCAAUGGGCUUGACGUUCGAAGCCCAUUGGGCC